rnacentral:rRNA from 1 species
GAUGAACGCUGGCGGCGUGCCUAAUACAUGCAAGUCGAGCGAACGGACGAGAAGCUUGCUUCUCCGAUGUUAGCGGCGGACGGGUGAGUAACACGUGGAUAACCUACCUAUAAGACUGGGAUAACUUCGGGAAACCGGAGCUAAUACCGGAUAAUAUUUUGAACCGCAUGGUUCAAAAGUGAAAGACGGUCUUGCUGUCACUUAUAGAUGGUUCCGCGCUGCAUUAGCUAGUUGGUAAGGUAACGGCUUACCAAGGCAACGAUGCAUAGCCGACCUGAGAGGGUGAUCGGCCACACUGGAACUGAGACACGGUCCAGACUCCUACGGGAGGCAGCAGUAGGGAAUCUUCCGCAAAGGGCGAAAGCCUGACGGAGCAACGCCGCGUGAGUGAUGAAGGUCUUCGGAUCGUAAAACUCUGUUAUUAGGGAAGAAAAUAUGUGUAAGUAACUGUGCACAUCUUGACGGUACCUAAUCAGAAAGCCACGGCUAACUACGUG